UGGGGAAUAUUGGACAAUGGGCGAAAGCCUGAUCCAGCCAUGCCGCGUGUGUGAAGAAGGUCUUCGGAUUGUAAAGCACUUUAAGUUGGGAGGAAGGGUUGUAGAUUAAUACUCUGCAAUUUUGACGUUACCGACAGAAUAAGCACCGGCUAACUCUGUGCCAGCAGCCGCGGUAAUACAGAGGGUGCAAGCGUUAAUCGGAAUUACUGGGCGUAAAGCGCGCGUAGGUGGUUAGUUAAGUUGGAUGUGAAAUCCCCGGGCUCAAGCUGGGAACUGCAUUCAAAACUGACGGACUAGAGUAUGGUAGAGGGUGGUGGAAUUUCCUGUGUAGCGGUGAAAUGCGUAGAUAUAGGAAGGAACACCAGUGGCGAAGGUGACCACCUGGACUGAUACUGACACUGAGGUGCGAAAGCGUGGGGAGCAAACA
rnacentral:rRNA from 1 species